UUCUUCUCUUCUUUUGACUUUUGGAAGAAAACAAACUAUGUAAUGAACAAUUUUCAGGCUUUGGAUUGGCUCGAGUAGGCCUAGAGAAUCUCAGUAUAUUUAGUACUUUGAUUUAUCCUCACCUUUUAUACAGCCAACAGGCAUGUCAUCAUGUUCACACCUCCAUCCAAAUAGUACCAACUCCAUAUCGGUGUAGGGAUGUUUUUCUCAUGCUUCAAUGAAAAAGAUAUCAGAUAUUUUAUUGCGUAAGCCCAUAACAUUACGCUAAGGAUAUAAGCAAAGUUUGCUCAGCUCUGUUCAUCAUCACAAUACACUUCAUCUUUAUUAUGCAGUUAUAAAUAAUUGUAACGAAUUCUUUAUUAUAAUUUGCAAAAAUUUCAAAUGAUAGUUUUUAUUUAUCAAAACGGGAAGCAGAGAUCUUCCGUUAAUACAUAAAAAUUUCAUUUAGGCCUAUGUUUCUUACCUCAUUCACUUUGUACUCGAGUCUCGUUCCCGCUGACGUCACAUAUUGCGUAUAUUUUUGGUACUGAGAACCGUCAGGAUGGUGUUUGAUUUUACAUAGAGCAAUAUACCAAAAAUCAGUAGAUCAGAUCAGAUUUUGUAAUUUAGAUAUGAUUAGAAUAAUACUCAUUAAUAAUUUAAAGCGCUACAGGUUGAUGUGCAUCUUUUUUGUAAGCCCUUGCAAACAUUUUAUUCGUUUCCGAAAUCCCGUUCGAGUUGUCUCCCGCGAUAACUCAUAUGCAGACAGACUGAAUUUUCUCUAGCUGCAAAGUUAUGUACAUCGGCACUGGCUGAUCAGUGAUGCAAGCCAGCAGAAACUUUACAUCAACAUCAUCAAGAUGUGUCCGAUCUAACGUACUAUUAUAUACUCAGCGAUUGAAAAGUUCGUGAUCCUGGAUAGGAGAGGAGCGGAUCGUCAACAUGCAGGGUUGUUUUAAGAUCCGAAGCAAUGUUACACAGACAGAAGAAUAGGUGAAUGCCUCUCCAGUAUAUGUUGUAUAUAUGAUGACUAUAACAAUAACAUACAUGUAUAUCACUUGGGAAAUCAUGCACAACAAACUGUCCAUAUGAUGAUACCAUGUUGACAAAGAUAUUUAAAUAUGGAGAGGGAUAAAGAGACAUGCUACAGAAGAAGGAAGAUAAAGUCACAUGAUACAGACACCAGAGUGAUUACACCAACAUCAGUCCAAUAACAUUGGUACACACUGAAACUUGAGACCACAAAGGCCUGGAUUCUUUUGAAAUAUACUGUCAUCUGUGCAAUAUCACUUGGAAUCAUGGAAAACUUGUAUCACAGUGUUAACAAUUUUCAGUGAAUUUUCAAUGUCUAGCAUAGAAAUAAUUAAUUUUAUGUUUGAAUAUAUAGCUGGAAAUUUUCCUAUAUGUAAUUCACUUACUGCGUUCAACAGGUUUGGUACACGCAAACUCAUAAAUUGUAUCUCAAAAACAUAAGACUUCAAGUAUGUAUCCUAAAUAAUGACCAAUGCAAUCAGCACAGUAUUACACAUGUAAUAAAAUCUUAAUGUUUACUGACCUUCUAAGAAGAGAGAUAUAACUCUCAGUUGGUGUGAAUGACUAUUGUAAAGGCAAAGUUUUACAUGUUUACAUAAACAAAGACUUUAAAAGUUUUGAAAACAUUUAUAUUUUGAUAAAAUGUAAACUCU